CCAUCUCCUUCCUGUGCUAUGACUAUGUGAAGGCUUCCUUUGCAAAUGAAGAUGGACAGAUCAGCCCAGGAAGCCUGAUCACAGCUGGUGCUACCGCUGGUAUGUCUGCAACAUCUUUAGUGAUCCCUGCUGAUGUUAUCAAGUCUAGAUUAUAGGUGCCUGCCCAGGCUGGCCAAACCACUUAAAGUGGUGUUAUGGACUGUUUCAUAGGAAGAUACUCUGAGAAGAAGGCCCAAAAGUUGUGGAAAGGAGCUGGUGCUCAUUGGUUCUGAUCCUUGCCCAAGUCUGGUGUCACCUUGCUGACUUAUGAAUUGCUGCAGUGAUGUUGUACAUCAGUUUUGGAGGCAUAAAGCCUGUGGGAUCCAAGCCCUUUCCUAAAAAAUCCUGGAUUAGUCUACUGGCUCCCAAUCCUGAUCACCCUGGGGGCUAUUAAUUGGCAGUUGCAGCAUUCGAAAUUAUUGAAAGCAAAUUUGGGAUAAUCAACUUCUCUUCAAGCCCUCAGCAUCUACCUCAAAAGUAACUGAUGGGGGCUUGUAGGAAGACUGACCUGGGAUGUGGUUGUAAAAUGGUUGGUACUGCAAUAAAGCCCAUGUCUGAUUGUGGCUUCACCCUUUCUGCAUCUGGCAAAGGUCAAGGUUUUCUUUUCUUUUCUAUUUUGAAAUGGGGUUUCUCUGUGUAACAUCUUUGGCUUUCCUGGAACUCACUUUGUAGACCAGGCUAGUCUUGAACUAACAGAGAUCCACCUCCCUCUGUUUCUUGAUUACUGGCAUUAAAGGCUAUCCCCACCACAACCUAGUCUGUCAAGGCUUUUUUUAAACUAUGAAAUGCAGUCACUCAUUUUCUGGAUAUUUUUGUACACUUUAGCACUCUGCCCACAAACCUAUGUUUGUAUCAUUUAUAUACUGAGUUUGGUUAACACUAACAUGACGUAGGGUGAGUCAAGGAAAUGAGGGAGGCCUCAUUGAGGCCAUUGAAAAGCAAAGAGUUCUGAGGAUGUCUAAAGCAGUAGAAAUUUGGGCCUGUAUUCACAAAAAUGAAAAACACUGGAAGAAAUAACAACAACAACAACAACAAUAAUAAUAACCCCAAUUACCCACCUGCAUUCAAAUUUUAAAUAUGCGCAAAUUUGGCCCCAAUAUUCAGGUUUUAUGAGAAACAUGUUUUUUUGUUUUUGUUUUGUUUUUUUCAUAAUGAAACCACAUUGAGGAUAUUUCGAAACCCUGUCCUCUUACUUGUACCAAGUCUACUAGGGAAAGGUUUCAAAUUUUAAGGAUGUGAUUUUGGUAUUUUUAUUAUGGAGGCAAAAGAAACUGAGACACAGUCCUACUCCUGAGCAUGCUAAUUUGGGAUAAAUACUUAUAUAAUGAACACAUGCUGAUUACUAAAAAUGUUAAUAAACACUGUAAGAAUAGCAUGCACCCUUCUUGCUGGCGCCUAUCUGCUCUGAUCCCAUAGCUAGUGCCCAUUUGGCUUUAAAAUCCACUUAAUCUUGAAUCUUGUCAGACAAACACACUAAGUUUUUAUUUGGGGUGAAUUGUAUCAUUGUCAGAGACGUGUGUUUGUGAAGGGGAUAUAAACUAUUUUUUUCUUUUUUUUUCGACUUUAUAUUUUUAUUUGAAUUAGAACAAAAUUGUUUUACAUGUCAAUCCCAGUUCCCACUCCUUCCCCUCCUACCCUACCGCCCCCCCCAAUAAAACCCUACCUAUCACAUAUCCUUUCUGCUCCCCAGGGAGGGUAAGGCCUUUCAUAGGGGUCUUCAGAGUCUGUCAUAUUCUUUGGGAUGCGGCCUAGGCCCAUUCCUAUGUGUCUUGACUCAGGGAGUAUCCCUUCAUGUGGGAUGGGCUCCCAAAAUUCAUUCCUAUGCUCGGGAUAAGUACUGAUGUACUACAGGAGGUUCCAUGAAUUUUCCUCACUGACACCCACAUUCCUGCGGUUUGGAUCAGUCUCGUGCUGGAUUCCCAGCUAUCAGUCUGGGGACCAAGAACUCCCCAUUGUUCAGAUCAGCUGUUUCUGUGGGUUUCACCAGUGUGGUCUGGACCACUUUGCUCAUCACUUGUCCUUCUCUGCAACUGGAUUCCAGUUCAGUUCAGUGAUUAGCUGUGGGUGUCUGCUUCUACUUCCACCAGCUGCAGGAUGAAGGCUAUAGGAUGGCAUAUAAGACAGUCAUCAAUCUCAUUAUCAGGGGAGGGCAUUUAAGGUAGCCUCUCCUCUGUUGCUUAGAUUGUUAGUUGGUGUCGUCUUUGUAGAUCUAUAGACAUUCCCCUAAUGCCUGAUUUCUCUUUAAAUCUAAAAUGUCUCCCUCUAUUAUGGUAUCUCUUAUCUUGUUUUCUUCUAUUCUUCCCCCGACUCAACCUUUCUGCUCCCUCAUGUCCUCCUCACCCCUCCUCUUCUCCCUUUCUCAUUUUUCUAGCUUCCUCUCCCCUCCCCAUACGCUCCCACUUUGCUCAGGAGAUCUUGUCCCUUUCCCCUUCUCUGGGGGACCAUGAAUAUCUAUCUCUCUUAGAGUCCUCCUUGUUACCUAGCUUCUCUGGCAUUGUGGAUUGUGGGCUGGUAAUCUUUUGCUCUGUGUCUAAGAUCCAUAUGUGAGUGAGUACAUACCCUAUUUUAUGCUUGUGUAGCUGACUCUAAACAGUGAAACAGGGGCUGUCUCAGAGUCUUUUCCAGGCUUUUGGGACCCUACUCCUCAGCCUGGUUUGCCUUGCCCAGCCUUAAUACAAGAGGAGGUGCUCAGUUUUUCUGAAACUUGAUAAGCCAUCUUUUGUUAAUAAUCUUGGAA
rnacentral:lncRNA from 1 species